GUAGGGGGCAAGCGUUGUCCGGAAUCAUUGGGCGUAAAGCGCGUGUAGGCGGCCAUCCAAGUCCGAUGUGAAAGCUCGGGGCUCAACCCCGAGUCUGCAUUGGAAACUGGAUGGCUUGAGUCCGGAAGAGGAGACUGGAAUUCCUGGUGUAGCGGUGAAAUGCGCAGAUAUCAGGAAGAACACCGGUGGCGAAGGCGGGUCUCUGGGACGGUACUGACGCUGAGACGCGAAAGCGUGGGGAGCAAACAGGAUUAGAUACCCUGGUAGUCCACGCCGUAAACGAUGGGCACUAGGUGUGGGAGGUGUCGACUCCUUCCGUGCCGUAGCUAACGCAUUAAGUGCCCCGCCUGGGGAGUACGGCUGCAAGGCUA
rnacentral:rRNA from 1 species